rnacentral:rRNA from 1 species
GCUGGCGGCGUGCCUAACACAUGCAAGUCGAACGAGAAUCGACGGAUUGAGACUUCGGUUGAUUGAAGUUGAGGAAAGUGGCGAACGGGUGAGUAACGCGUGAGGAACCCUGCCUUCCAGUGGGGGACAACAGUUGGAAACGACUGCUAAUACCGCAUAACAUAUUCGGACCGCAUGAUCUGAAUAUCAAAGCUUUAUGUGCUGGAAGAUGGCCUCGCGUCUGAUUAGCUAGUUGGUGAGGUAACGGCUCACCAAGGCGACGAUCAUUAGCCGGACUGAGAGGUUGAACGGCCACAUUGGGACUGAGACACGGCCCAGACUCCUACGGGAGGCAGCAGUGGGGAAUAUUGCGCAAUGGGGGAAACCCUGACGCAGCAAUGCCGCGUGAAGGAUGAAGGUUUUCGGAUUGUAAACUUCUUUUACUGAGGACGAAGAAAGUGACGGUACUCAGAGAAUAAGCCACGGCUAACUACGUG